AUUGAACGCUGGCGGCAGGCCUAAUACAUGCAAGUCGAACGAGUGGCGGACGGGUGAGGAAUGUCUGGGAAACUGCCCGAUGGAGGGGGAUAACUACUGGAAACGGUAGCUACUACCGCCUACCAUCGGAUGUGCCCAGAUGGGAUUAGCUAGUAGGUGGGGUAACGGCUCACCUAGUCGACGAUCCCUAGCUGGUCUGAGAGGAUGACCAGCCACACUGGAACUGAGACACGGUCCAGACUCCUACGGGAGGCAGCAGUGGGGAAUAGUGCACAAUGGGCGCAAGCCUGAGUCAGCCAGGCCGCGUGUAUGAAGAAGGCCUUCGGGUUGUAAAGUACUUUCAUCGAGGAGGCGUUACUCGCAGAAGAAGCACCGGCUAACUCCGUGCCAGCAGCCGCGGUAAUUC
rnacentral:rRNA from 1 species